rnacentral:rRNA from 1 species
AACGAACGCUGGCGGCAGGCCUAACACAUGCAAGUCGAACGCUGUAGCAAUACAGAGUGGCAGACGGGUGAGUAACACGUGGGAAUCUUCCUAUCGGUACGGAAUAGCUCAGGGAAACUUGGGGUAAUACCGCAUACGCCCUUCGGGGGAAAGAUUUAUCGCCGAUAGAUGAGCCCGCGUCUGAUUAGCUAGUUGGUGAGGUAACGGCUCACCAAGGCGACGAUCAGUAGCUGGUCUGAGAGGAUGACCAGCCACACUGGGACUGAGACACGGCCCAGACUCCUACGGGAGGCAGCAGUGGGGAAUAUUGGACAAUGGGCGAAAGCCUGAUCCAGCAAUGCCGCGUGAGUGAUGAAGGCCUUCGGGUUGUAAAGCUCUUUUACCAGGGAUGAUAAUGACAGUACCUGGAGAAUAAGCUCCGGCUAACUCCGUGCCAGCCGCCGCCGUAAUAC